AAGUCGUAACAAGGUUUCCGUAGGUGAACCCUGCGGAAGGAUAUUAAAAGUAAUUGGUUAUCACAUAUCCUGUAUCAGCUGGCACAACCCAUUCCGAGUACCUUGCCUGAUUGCUUCCAUGGGGCCUGACUUUGUCACUGCUUUGUGAUGCGAAUCCCAAGAGAGUCCCCCAUGGGGGGUAAUAUUAAAUUCAUGAAUCCAAUGUCUUCUGUCGAAAUGUUAAAACAAUGUUAAA
rnacentral:misc_RNA from 1 species